rnacentral:tmRNA from 1 species
GGGGGCGUAAUGGUUUCGACAGGGGUAGUUGUAGCAUGGGUAGCGAGCCGGGGUUCCAUCAGCCCGUCAAUACGGUGGACUUAAAGUAAAAGCAAACAACGAAUACGCUUUAGCAGCUUAAUGCUAACGUCCUACUCUCCUUCUUCCCGUGGGGCGGGAUAGGGCGUCACUUAGCGGGAUACCUGAGGUCUAAUUCUCCGCGGACCGACUGGGAAAUUUUAACGAGAUAGCACCGGCGAAGCUUGUCUGUAGGCGUCAAUGGAGCGAAGCUUAAAUUGCAGACUGCGCUCGGAGAAGCCUGUGUAGCGGCACCUUUGGACAGGAGUUCGAUUCUCCUCGCCUCCACCA